AGUCGUGUGUACAUCAUUGGGAAUGGAGGGAAAUAAAUGACUGGAUGGUCGCUGCUUUUUAAGUUUCAAAUUGACAUUCCAGACAAGCGGUGCCUGAGCCCGUGCCUGUCUUCAGAUCUUCACAGCACAGUUCCUGGGAAGGUGGAGCCACCAGCCUCUCCCUGAAACAGGGUUUUGCCAUGUUGGCCAGACUGGUCUCAAACUCCUGACCUCAGGUGAUCUGCCUGUCUCGGCCUCCCAGAGUGCUGGGAUUAUAGGCGUGAACCACUGUGCUGGGCCCAAAGUGAAACUAUUAUAACAAGACAAGCAAAGUGGAUCAGCAAAGGCUGCAGUCACCAGCAUCUUUUCCAACCUUAAUGAACUGUAUCCUCAAAAGAACACUAUCAGACUGGCUCUGCCGACUUCCAGUUCUGGAACAAGAUGGUUAAACUCAUUUUUCCCUGCUCUGCUCCUCUAAAUACAACUAAGUACCUUGGAAACUAUUCAGCAGACAAUGAUAAAGGGCUCUGAAAGCUAGAAGAAAAGGUGUACUUGCAAGAAACCUCAGGACUUGAGUAACAGCAACAUGUCUUGGACGAGCCUGAGGAUGUCUACAAGUGGAAGAAAAGAAGCCACUGGAGCAGAAGGUGGGGAGGAUAAAAUUUGGAGCAAGAUUCUCAAGGAAGCAACAAGAUCCUAAGGAAAGGAGAAAGAGACUACCUACUGCAUUUCUGUCACUCGCUGAAAAGGACACUCUGUCAGAAAAUCUUCUAGCAAACUUCAAAGGGCAAAAUCACCCCUUGUUACUGAUAAAGCCCAGAGAGCUUCAGCAGCUAACAUUCCCUGGACAGGGCACAGCAAGGAUUUGAACCUAGGUCAGUCUGGCCAGAACACCCACAAGCUUUCCUUAACUCAGUGUGCUAUCUCCCCACGACUAGGUCACUACUGCUUUAUAAUCACCUUUGUAGCCACCAGUGGAUUUUGCUCAUCAGUAUUUUUCAGGCAAUUGAUACUUUAGAUAUUCAGCUGCAAGACGUAUGCAGUUUUC
ensembl:lncRNA MIR4435-2HG MIR4435-2 host gene